GCCGCCCUCCUCCCGCCACCUCCCCGCAGGGGGGUUCCCCCUCGGAGCGUCCCCGCCGGGCGGUGGCGGCGCCCGGGGGUGCCGGGCCGCGGGUACCGGCUCGGUACUUCGGCCCCGGCCGCCUCUCGCCGGGACGAGCCGGGCGUCCCCGCGGGGCUCCCCCCCGCCCGCAGCCCCGCGGGUGCGCGGCCGCUGCCGCGGAUGGGGCCGCCCCGGGGAGCGGUGCGGGGCCGGGGCCGGGGCCGGGGGUGCGCGGGGGCCGGGGACCGGGCAGGCCCCGCCCCGCCCCGGCGUGUCAGCCCCCUCGGGAGUUGGCCGCGGGGGGAUGCCCGGUGACGCUCCCCCCCGGCACAGGCUGAAGAAGGGCAGCGGUGCCCAGUGUCCCCGUCGCGGGGAGUGCUGGUGGCGAGAGUGAGUGGGAGCGUGCUUGUGUGUGUUACGAAGGCACUGGCGCGCUGCUCGGCCAUUUGAGGAUCUCCGACCUAUUUUUGACCAUGGAAUCGAUUAAAAACUUCUUAAACCUACCCUGACGCUAUUUCGACCUGGAAAGCAAAAGAACGUACUUAAGACGCCUAAGUAGGGCAGGGGCUGCCCCUCGCACUGUGCCUUCCCGGGAUGCAGCCACGCCGCUGCAGAGCGGCCCCCCCCGGAGCUGGUCCACGGGUACCAGGAGCCGUAGGAAGCAGCUGAAGAAAUAACACGCCAGAAGGAUGCAAGCAGUUUGUUUGCCCCCUCCCGCGGAGCCUUUCGCCAAGGGAGGGCAGGACCUUCCAGGAGGAUGCACUCCCAGACACAGGCCCGGCCCGCAGAAGGUGCAUUACAGAUGAAGUGCUGACAGUCUGUCAGGAAAGAAGUGAAGUUUUCUGUAAUGCUUCUUCCCAGGGUUGGAGAAGAAUCAACUAUAAUCGGAAGGUCAACAGUGAUGGAAGACAUUCAUCCCUACCUUUAAAUAUGGCUUAAAUCAGGAAGAAAUACACUUUCUUUUCUCUGUACUUUGUUUUGCUGGUGUACUGGCGUUGUGUGUUUCUGUGAGGUUUAAAGAGUGUGUGUCUUGACAGAAUGGGAUGAUGGUCGCUUUAUUACAGUUCUGAAGGCCUAAUUUUAUAUCCUGUAAUGUAGGUGUCUAGUCUUCAUCAGAGUCCUGAACGGGUAGGAGUUUAGGACUGAGUCCUUUCCUUAUAAGCUUAUCUGUCCUUCUUCCAAAACCACAUGGAUUUAGAGUACUGGAUCAUAUAAGUAUUCAGAGAAAUGCCUCCACUGCUACUGCUCUUACAUUCUUAAAUUACAGUGAUUAAAACAUAUGGCUUUUUAUAUCUCUCUAUCUAUCUAUCUCUUUGGUGUCUUCUUCCAUGAUGAAGAGUCUUGGAUACACUAACAAAAACAACCACCUUCAAUUUUAAUAAUAGUAGCAGAUAGAAAGUUUGGGAGAAUGAUUAGUAUGUAAGCUGUCAAAGAACAGGAUAUCUGGUAUUCGGAACUGAUUAAUACAUUUUCCUGUUUGCAAUAGACUACUUGUAGUUUUAUGGGUUGGAUAGCUGAUGAUACAGUAGCUAACAGGGAAGAACAAAAGCUGCUGCAGAGUUGAUAUUAUAAGUCUUAAUUUUGGUACCCAGUAAUCCUCAUUUUGAUACUGCACCUAGCAUUCCUAAUGUUAGUCUCAGUUAUAGAACUAUAGCUUAUAGGAAACUGUGUUUUCCUACACAGAAAACCCAAAUGAAAUUCUUGGUAUUUAAUUAACAGCAUCAUGUAUUUCGAUGUGUAUGUUAUUACUUCUGUGCUGAUCCAGCUGAGGUGUGAACUGCUAAAGCCCCUAGCUACAGUAGGUCAGCUCUUCACACAGCAGCAACUUGCCCCCUUCCCUCUCAUGGUGUAGAUAAGGAUCAUGACAGUGUUUAGGCUGCUAAUACAUAAAAAUACCAUGGCUGGUCUACAAUGGAUUUCUCGUUUUUAUAGCCAGGGAAAACACAGCAAGAUUUAUUUUUAUUUUCACAAUCCUCUGCGCUGUGUAAAAUGUUAGUCUGGCAUAUGACUGUAAUUGAUAAAUACCUGGUAGUGAGGGAAAUACAGAUUUCCAAGUGAUAAAAGGCUCAUUAACUAGACCUGUCUCAUUAUUGUCUUUGAAUUCCUUGGUAGGCUGCACAUACAGUCAAAUACACUACUUCAGAAAUGACAGGCAUUAAAAAUUCAUGUGGUGUCUUGCACUUUUAGAGGCUUGAAAAAUGUUGCAGAGUGCAUGGCACAAGCAAUACUGUGAGCAGAGAUUAGCAGGGAUCUCAUUGCAGUGAUUCCUCCAAGCUCAUCUAGCCUUCCAGCUGCUCUUUGAUUCUGAUGGUUUUGCUCGUUGACAUUUGGUGGAUAUUACUUGUGUUAACUAAUUACCGGGCACUAACCAUUUGUAGAACUUCCAUGAAAGGAUUAGGGGACUCAAAACAGCAAAGCAAAUUGACUUUGAGCAUAACAUCAAUAAUGUAGCACUUUAACAAUGAAAAUAUGCUUCUGGGUAUAAGCAUGGCAAUUCUGUUUGGUUUUUCAGACUUGUUUUUAAGGCAAAUGUAUAGGACUAAACAUAGAGAGGAUGUGAGUAGGUAAGGCUAUAAGUCCUAAGAGAAAUUUCUUUACUACUUAGGAUACUUGACAAUCAGAUUAAAUCACUUAAAAGCUGUCUACCUAGCAAGACAGUGUAAUUAUCUUGAGAAGGGAAAAAUGAAGUAUUUACUGCUUGCUUUUUUCUUACUCUGGCCUGUGUGGGCAUACUUAAGUCACAUAUUUGUUCUAACAAAUAGCAGCAAAGAUUUUUUCAGGAAGAUAUGAUUAGGUAGUUAAUUUCAGUAUAGCAUUAAUGACGAUUACAUAUAUUUAAGAGUAGAACUACAUGCAUGAUCUAUGAACAUACGUGUUAGAUAUAUGCAGCCAGAAUGAACAGACACAGUUUCUUGUGCACCUCCAGCUGUAACUGUUCAGCUUUUCUGUUUUAAAGUCAUUGAUACUAGCAGGAGGUAUGUUCUUUUCCUUCUGCUGAUAAGAACAGUGUAUGCUCCAAAUACAUUCAAGUAACAGUGGCUUAUGUUAGGGUCAGUAAACCCCUUAUGCAGGGUUCAGUUAGGGUCAGGGUAAGAGUGAACAGGGAAGGAGGUGAAAGAUCGCCGAUCCCCUAUAUAUACUCUCGUUGGGAUAUAAUGCUGUGGUGUAUAUACUGGUACACUGACUGUCAGCUCUCAAUAUUGCAGAAAAAUUAAUACCCUGAGUGCAUAUAGAAAAGGUUCUUGCAUACCUACAUUGCACACAGGCAAGCACAGGGAAAUCUUAAUGAUGGUAAUCUAAGGAGCAACUUUUUUUUUAAAAAAAAGGCAGAGUUCUAUGUGAAAAAUGCAUGUACCUUGGCUGAAUAAAUAAAUUCGGUCUCACUUGGUGAAUCUGGCAGUCUUUUACAAAAUGAUAAUGAUGUAAACUUCAUUGCAAUGACUUUAUAUGCAUGUUCUAGAUGUUACUGUAUUGUAGAAGCUAAGGGAAAUGAUGCUGUCAACCUGCUUUGUGAAUGCCACUGGAGAGAAGGUUCAGAGUUUCCCAAAUGAUUCAUAGCUGUUUUAUGGCUGGAGAUUAUUGUGGGGAUGUCAGAGUCAUUUAAUUUCUCCCUUGGAGAGUGCUGCCCACUCCUGCAUUCCACCAGCCCUCAAAAGUCCUUCCCCUUGCCUUUCUGUCUCCGCAGUAAAGUUACAGAUGUGAAUUGCUUGUGCUUUCCCUCCCCUGUAAUAUUCCUUGGAUAUUAUUUUAAUGAUAUUUUAGUGUUGUUUUCUCUUAUUUUAUUUUUUAAAGCUUUUUCUACCUUCUGCCAUUUCUUUCCCAUAAAUAAAGUGUGUUCUUCCUUUUCAUAGCUGAACACUUGUAAGCUCCAAAAAUAUCCUUACAGACAUACUGAAGCAGAAGAUGAGACACUGUACCUAAUUUCAAAUUUAAACAUUGUUUUAAACAUGAAAAUGGUAGAGAGAUUAAAAACAAACACAAAACCCCAACAAAAACAACGACCCUUAUGAUGUUCAGGUCACAGGUUCUUCUUUUUU